rnacentral:misc_RNA from 1 species
AUUCUUUGGGUAAUAGUUUUAGAAGGAUAUACUUUCAAAAAAUGUAAGAAGUAUUUCGUUACAAGAAUGCAACAAUAAUUAUAGGUUGUUGAGGGUUUUUAGAGAAGCUGAAAAUAGACUAUGGCUGGUAAGGAUAUGCAUAUAUUAAAAUAAAUUAGGUCAAUUGCAGUUGAUUUAAUGAAAAAAAAAAAAUGCAUCCAACAAGGUGAGUCUAAGUAAGUAAUAAUGGGAAUUUCCUUUUUUUUUAAGCAAAAAUUACAUUAAUAAUGAAAAUAAACUAGAAAAAACUUAGCAAUUUAAGCCCUGAUAGACCACCCAAUACACUAAACUUAAAAACUGAAAUGCUAAAUGAAAAAAUCUGGAACAAGAGAACAAAACACGAAUGAAUACAAAAACCAAAAGUCCUGAAUUACACUGAAAAACAGAAGACAUAACAACACAUGCAAUGCAGCACAACAAGAAACAUGUGGUACCCUGACAAAAUAGUAGAAACACUAACUGAAACCAAACCUUCUACACUUGACGUCCAUU